rnacentral:rRNA from 1 species
AACGUAGGGAAACUUACGCUAAUACCGCAUAAGACCUUCGGGUGAAAGUGGGGGACCUUCGGGCCUCACGCGGAUAGAUGAGCCGAUGUCGGAUUAGCUUGUUGGCGGGGUAAAAGCCCACCAAGGCGACGAUCCGUAGCUGGUCUGAGAGGAUGAUCAGCCACACUGGAACUGAGACACGGUCCAGACUCCUACGGGAGGCAGCAGUGGGGAAUAUUGGACAAUGGGCGCAAGCCUGAUCCAGCCAUACCGCGUGGGUGAAGAAGGCCUUCGGGUUGUAAAGCCCUUUUGUUGGGAAAGAAAUCCUGCCGGUUAAUAACCAGUAGGGAUGACGGUACCCAAAGAAUAAG